CGGCGCGUCUUAAACAUGCAAGUCGAACGAUCUGUAGCAAUACAGGGAGUGGCGGACGGGUGAGGAACACGUAGGAAUCUACCUUGAAGAGCGGGACAACUUUGGGAAACCGGGGCUAAUACCGCAUAGUACAGAGAUGUUAAAGGGCUAGCAAUAGUCGCUUCGAGAUGAGCCUGCGGUCUAUCAGCUUGUUGGUGAGGUAAUGGCUCACCAAGGCUACGACGGAUAGCCGGUCUGAGAGGAUGAUCGGCCACACUGGCACUGAGACACGGGCCAGACUCCUACGGGAGGCAGCAGUUAAGAAUCUUGCGCAAUGGGGGAAACCCUGACGCAGCGACGCCGCGUGAAGGAUGAAGGCUUUCGGGUUGUAAACUUCGGUAGACUGGGAAGAAGAAAUACGUUCGUUGAGGGCGUAUAGUGACGGUACCAGUCUGAAGCCCCGGCUAAUUACGUG
rnacentral:rRNA from 1 species